GUGCCCGUAGCUCAAUUGGAUAGAGCGUUGGCCUCCGGAGCCAAAGGUUGCAGGUUCAACUCCCGCCGGGCACGCCA
rnacentral:tRNA from 1 species